rnacentral:ncRNA from 1 species
UGCUUUAUCCAUUUGAAGUAACUCUACCUACAGGUGCGCCAUUAGUAAUGAUGGGGUUCUAAGCUGUAGGAACAAUGUGAAUAAUCGACUAGCCUAAAGUGGAGGUUUUG